rnacentral:rRNA from 1 species
UACAGAGGUCUCAAGCGUUGUUCGGAUUCAUUGGGCGUAAAGGGUGCGUAGGUGGCGCCGUAAGUCGGGUGUGAAAUUUCGGAGCUUAACUCCGAAACUGCAUUCGAUACUGGCGUGCUUGAGGACUGGAGAGGAGACUGGAAUUCAUGGUGUAGCAGUGAAAUGCGUAGAGAUCAUGAGGAAGACCAGUGGCGAAGGCGGGUCUCUGGACAGUUCCUGACGCUGAGGCACGGAAGGCCAGGGGAGCAAACGGG